AAUCCAACAGGGAUUACCUCAGUAACGGCGAGUGAAGCGGUAAGAGCUCAAAUUUGAAAGCUACCAACAGGUCGCAUUGUAAUUUGUAGAAGAUGCUUUGGGUGUUGACCUAGUCUAAGUUCCUUGGAACAGGACGUCAUAGAGGGUGAGAAUCCCGUAUGUGAUUAGUGUCAGCCCCCGUGUAAAGCUCUUUCGACGAGUCGAGUUGUUUGGGAAUGCAGCUCAAAAUGGGUGGUAAAUUUCAUCUAAAGCUAAAUAUUGGCCAGAGACCGAUAGCGCACAAGUAGAGUGAUCGAAAGAUGAAAAGCACUUUGGAAAGAGAGUUAAACAGUACGUGAAAUUGUUGAAAGGGAAGCGCUUGCAAUCAGACUUGCAGGCAGUCGAUCAUCCGAGGUUCUCCCCGGUGCACUCGAUUGUCUUCAGGCCAGCAUCGGUUUCGGUGGUGGGAUAAAGGCUGUGGGAAUGUGGCUCUUCGGAGUGUUAUAGCCCACGGUGCAAUGCCGCCUACCGGGACCGAGGACCGCGCUUCGGCUAGGAUGCUGGCGUAAUGGUUGUAAGCGAC
rnacentral:rRNA from 1 species